rnacentral:rRNA from 1 species
ACUCCUAUGGGAGGCAGCAGUGGGGAAUAUUUGCACAAUGGGCGCAAGCCUGAUGCAGCCAUGCCGCGUGUGUGAAGAAGGCCUUCGGGUUGUAAAGCACUUUCAGCAGUGAGGAAGGCCGGAGUCGUUAAUAGCGGCCUCGUUUGACGUUAGCUGCAGAAGAAGCACCGGCUAACUCCCGUGCCAGCAGCCGCGGUAAUACGGAGGGUGCGAGCGUUAAUCGGAAUUACUGGGCGUAAAGCGCAUGCAGGUGGUUUGUUAAGUCAGAUGUGAAAGCCCGGGGCUCAACCUCGGAAUAGCAUUUGAAACUGGCAGAACUAGAGUACUGUAGAGGGGGGUAGAAUUUCAGGUGUAGCGGUGAAAUGCGUAGAGAUCUGAAGGAAUACCGGUGGCGAAGGCGGCCCCCUGGACAGAUACUGACAC